GGCCGCUUAUGGAGGGAAAAGGCCUUCCUAAUCACGCAGCGGUGCCAGAGCGCAGUAGGAACAGUGGCUGCUACAUGCAGUUUCAGAUCAAUCUGCUAUCCUCAUUGUGCCUGAGACCCAAAUAAUUCCUGGGUUAACUCUGGAGACUUUGAAGGUAGAAAUUUCAUUUGUUUAUCCUUGUAUAAGUAACUGCCCCCUCCAUUCCAAUAUUGGGUAGACAUUGUAAAAUAAAUUGUAGAAUAA
rnacentral:lncRNA from 1 species